AGGUGUGUCAACUCCUGGAGAGUUCUUGUCAAUCAAUGUAGCUGAUGAGGACUCCAAGUUCGCCGUGUGGUGUUGUCCCAAGGAACAGAAGACAAGAAGGGGUGUAAGGAGCAUCCUGGCAACACAACGGAGAGAAACCUCUCAGGGUUCAGUUAGACGGACGUGGGAGGAUGUGGCAGCAAUGGGCUCGCCCCGAGGGAAACGCACCUUUCCAGGAGAAAAUGUCACACCAACAGAACUGAAAGAAGGGAAAAAAUCGUCCAGGUCUUUGCGUCAAGGAUGGAGAAAAAGAGAGAAAAAGCUUAAACAGGAAAGCUGGAAAAGCCAACUUGGAGAAGCAAUGUCAUUCCCAGCUCAUGAACCCAUCCGUGCGGUUGGUGUGGUUGUGAUCUGCUCUCACUGCUGCUUACUGCCAAGAAGUAGUGCAUCUGUCAAGAUUCCCCCUCUGGAAAAGAAGAUCAGAGCAAACGGGGGUUGAGGAGAACAAAAGCUGACCCAAACCUUUGACCUAAACUUAACAUAAAGCCGAAUGAAACCUUAGAGAAAUGCCUUGGACCAGCUGUGACUGAACAGCACACGGACUGUAGCUUGUUCCUGGUAGUGCCCAAAAUGUUCAGGGCAUUUUCCAGGUGGAAGAAAGUUACAGCUAAAGAGACACAGAAGAGAAAGGGAGGAGAUUCAAGGCAGCAGGGGCUGACCCGCAACCAAAGCACCGAGGGGCCAAGCCUCCCAAGACCAUCUUCUUCCCAGCCACUCUGCGUGUUGACAUCUUGGCAUCGUACACUGAGAAGAAGUUUACAAGAGCCCCUGUGACUGACCAGAGAUCUCCGCCAUGUCCCAGUCAUCCUGCUGUCACAUCGCUGCCCAGGACCCAGCCAACUGAUGAUGGCUGGCCCAGCGCCACACUGCCAAUUCAGUGAAUGCCCUCCCAGUCCUGCCUGUAGAGCGACCACGGGGAACAUGCGAUGCCCGCGGAAAGUAUUCAGCCAGCGGCAGCGCGAACCGAUGCGCUCUCUAUUUAAUAUGCAAAGGAAAUGAGUCGCAGCUAAAUUCAUUGCGCACAUCCAUUACGUGAGAGAAGCGUCAAUAUUUCUGUAAAUCCACCAGGGAAUUUAUUCAUCUCGGCCUCCAGCAAUGGUGAAUUACCCUGGUGACUGGUGCAAUUCGGAAGCUUAUACAGCCAUAAUGAGAAAGUACCGUGGUUUCCCUUAAAGUAAUAUAGUGGUUAUUGCUGAUAGUUACUGCCUUUGUGAAGUAUUAAUGUGUGGUUAUAGUGCAGUCAUGUAGCAAAAUUAUAGGGGCCUAUGGAAUGUUACUUAGCAACACUUGCUAAUGUUGAGGUGGUAAUGAAGAAAUGGAGUAAAAGAAAUACAGGGUAUAUUGGAGUCAUAAAAUAAACUGUGGUGUGGCUUCAGAAAGCUGUUCUGAAGAUAAAGAUGUUGUCUGUUUCUCUUUUUGCCAUGCGAAUAUGGUAGAAGAACGUAAGAGCUGAUCUGAAGCAACACAUUUGAAAUAUCCAAGUAACAGAAACAAGCGUUAUGUUUUUGUUUGUUUGCUUGCUUGUUUUUUAUUAUUGUUGCCGCCUGGGAAAAGCAUCAGAAUUUCUGGGCUUUUGAAAAUCCUCUCCUUGUCAUUUCAAACCCAUCCUGAGGCACUAGCCGGCCAAUUAAAAUAAUCUCUCCUUUGUCAGAGUUAAGAACGAAGGCUUCUUUCUACUACAUCUAUUUUCUCCAUUCAUUCAUUUACAUAACUCCCUCCACCAUUAAUCAAGCGCUUGCAGGCAUAUCUCAAGAAAAGGGUGAGGCCAUAAAAAUAAAGGCAGAUAUUUCUAGUUAUAGAUGAACCUUCCACAUGUUGCAGA